rnacentral:tRNA from 1 species
GCAUCUAUAGUUUAGUGGUAGAAUGCUCGCUUGCCACGCGAGUGGCCCAGGUUCGAACCCUGGUUGAUGCA